rnacentral:rRNA from 1 species
UACGUAGGGUGCGAGCGUUAAUCGGAAUUACUGGGCGUAAAGCGUGCGCAGGCGGCUUUGUAAGCCAGGUGUGAAAUCCCCGGGCUCAACCUGGGAAUGGCAUUUGGGACUGCAAGGCUGGAGUGCGGCAGAGGAGACUGGAAUUCCUGGUGUAGCAGUGAAAUGCGUAGAUAUCAGGAGGAACACCGAUGGCGAAGGCAGGUCUCUGGGCUGACACUGACGCUCAUGCACGAAAGCGUGGGGAGCGAACAGG